GGAGUUAGCGGCAGCAGAAACGGCUCAACCUGCUCCAGCGGAUGACGGUUUUAAGGACAUUCAGGUCGAAAACAGCAGAGAAAAAUCAGUUUCUCCUAAAGACAGAUUGGAUGAUAGAAAUGACAAUGGGAAUGUGGAGAGUAAUAACCUGUCAGUGCCUACUGAGCCGGACUCUGCAAAACCAAGUCAUUUCAAAAGUGAUUAUGAGAAUGCGGAGAGUAAUAACCUGUCAGUGCCUACUGAGCCGGACUCUGCAAAACCAAGUCAUUUCAAAAGUGAUUAUGAGAAUGCGGAGAGCAAUAACCUGUCAGUGCCUACUGAGCCGGACUCUGCAAAACCAAGUCAUUUCAAAAGUGAUUAUGAGAAUGCGGAGAGCAAUAACCUGUCAGUGCCUACUGUGGCGGACUCUGCAAAACCAAGUCAUUUCAAAACUGAUAAUGGGAGUUCAUAUGUAUCAUCUCCAGUUCCUGGCGAUGACAUAACUGUACCUGAAGUGACUCUCCAACCCGUUCAGUCUCCGUCUAUCGCGAGAUCAUUGGAAAACUUUACUAUCUACACUGGCUCUGAAGCUGAUAAUUCCAGAGUGUCCGAAAAGACUCCAGUUUCUCACACCCCUCGGGUACAUUUCGCAACCACUCCACGCAUUAAUGAGAUCACCCCCGAGCCAGUACACUCGAGGAAGAAAUGGGAUAAUGAUGAGCACUCUCCUAAAGCUGCCAAAGGGUUCAGAAAGCUUCUAUUCUUCGGAAGAAAAAAAGCUUGAACUACCCAAUUCCUUAUGCGCACG
rnacentral:lncRNA from 1 species